rnacentral:misc_RNA from 1 species
CUGCAUCCUCUUUUCUCACCUUUAAUUUUUUUUUUUUCUCACCUAGCAAAAUUCUUCGCUUUUUUUUUUUACUUUUAACCUUUAAGAUAUACAUUUAUUAGCUAUUUUAAUUUAUUUAACAAUAAAAAAGAAUGCAACCUUUCCUCUACAAAAACAAACAAUACAACCAAUAAUAUUUCACCUCAUUAGAAAUUUUGAUUCUGAACCUUAUACCCAUUAAUAAACGUUGUUACUAUAUUAUAAAGGGCGCGGCUAGACCCAACCAUGAUCUGGUUUGAAAUUGAAAUCGGACCAAUCCAAUUCAAAAUUAAGAUUAGACUAAAUUUAGUCAGUGAUUAAUUGACCAAAAUCUCGGACAAAAUCCGAAUUGGCUGGUCAAAAUCCGGGCCAAACCAGAUUUUUUUUUCCUUAUGGAAAUUUUCAAUAAUUAAAUUUGAUCAAAAUUGGACCAAACCAAAACCAACUGAAACCCUUCAAUCUAGUUUUAAUUCAAUUGAACCUUGAGAACCAAAUCCGACCCAAUAGCCACUCACACUCCUAAGUGUCCCUAUUAUAAAUUUCACCCCUAAUUGCAGCUAUUAUAAACUCAACCUUAUAAAAAAACCAAUGAUGUGGCUAAAUUAUUUCACAUUGAUAAAUAAUCAUGGACAUUGACUUUAUAGCUCAAUUCUUAGACCUCGAUGAGCAAGAAGCAACUAGGUAUAACUGGAUCAUUGAUCCUAAAUCCUAAAGCCGCCACUAAAAGAAUGUGCCAUUUCCUUCACGAGCAACAAGCUUUCAAUAUGUCUUCAAUAUCUGGAUCAUCUCCUGCUUCUUUAUCCUUAUGGAUGUAUGAGAUAUUUGUUUUACCAGGACCGGCAACUAUAAUUCCACCUUGCUGCCUGAGAAACAAUCAAAUUCAUUUUUGUUAAAAACAACUUUACAUACACAGAAGCUCUGCAAAAGUUCUUAUUUAGAACACAACAUGCAUGAUAACAAUUUCCCACAUGGCAACUGUACAAUCUCAUGAUCAAAACAAAACCCAAUUUCAGAAGAUGACUUCUUAUGAAUCUCUCAAUAAGGAUUGUAAUAAUAAGACGAUUCACAUACCAGCCACCUCUGGACACAGUGUCCUUUUCAGAUGAAAGUUUCCAGUCUUGUCGAUAACCUUCCAUGUACGACUGUAUUAUCUUAAGACCUGCUUUAGGAGUAAAUGUGGUCAAAACCCCGGAAACAAAUUUUAGCGCCUCAUAUGAUGAGUGGUUAGGAUCUGCAUAAACUUCUCCUUUGAAUUUAGUUUGCUCAAAGAAUGUUUUUGCCUGCAUCAAGUUUCUGAAGAUGGUUAUCAAACACAUCCGCCCAAUCUAUGGUAUGCUAUAAAAUUUCGAUGGAAAAACAUUAUGGAAGCAAUCAUAUGAUACAGAAUAAUAAGUAAAGCAAGUGUGUAGUUCACUAUCAAUACCACACUAAAUUGCUUUGGUUAACAAUGCCGUUUAAAAAAAUUGAACAAAGUUUCACUAACGCAACCAAACUCUAUAUCAUCCUUACCCUAGGGAUGGCAUAAGAAACACAAUAAGGAAACCCAACACAAGUAUAAGCACACAAUGAUAACAUACAUGCACAGACUCAAACAAUUAUGCAAAAAAAGGUAAUCAAUCUGCCUUACCAAGACAUACCUGAUCAACGCUGCCAGGUCCAAUCAAAACAAGUGCCACUCCAGAUGCAUCCAUUAUGUCCUAUCAACAUAUCAGAGAAAUGUCAUGAAGGCGUGCGUAUAAUGACCCCUAAAUCUCUCUAAUUUUUCAUGUUAGUGCAACUAGUUAAGGAUAGACAAUGAAACAUAUUCUCAUCAACCUCAGGUUCGCCCAACAGUUUCCAUAGAUCAAUGAUUCCUAAUCAAGCACAUAUAGAGUUAUAGACCACAGCUUGGAAAGAUCCAAACCCAAGAUAUGUACAUUUUGAUUUUGGGUUCUAAAGAAAAAGUAAAAAAUUUGCUCCUUUAACCUCCCAAAGAGAAGAUAACAAACAAUUCCUUGCAUGUAAUUACCUUCUUGGCAGCAAGAUAAUCAGCGCGUUUCCUACAAAGGACACAUCCAAAAUGACGUGCAAACGCAACAACAGCUUUCCUAUCUUUCCAUAAAUCGGAAAUUGGGAUUCCAUUUCCGUCCAAAUUGAACACCUUCACUGUGUCCAAUAAAUUCACAGUGUCCUCACUCACUAAACCCGAAGAUUCAAUUCCUAUUCACAUCUCAAACAUUUAAAUAUAAAAUCAAGUUCAGUUAUCAGAGAUCAGGUUAACAAAAUAAUUUCCUAAUUCAAGUGAUAGUAAGAAAACUUGCCGCUAGAUCUCGAGACUGCAGAGCGGACGAUGGUGUGGCUUUGACGCUUGGGAAGGAAUUUGAUUGCUCUGUGGCGGUGGCCCGUUGAUGCAGCGAGAACUAGAGGCGCAGAAAUACUCUUGGUGAUGAAGCUGGGUUGGGGCAUUUUCCGCGAGAAAGCAGUGGACUGACAAAUCGCCAUGGCUGGCUUGAUUGGUUACAAGGAGGCAAAGCAGCAUUUUGGCGGUUGGCUAUGGCGAGG